CAUUUGAGUGAUCUCUCUCUUUUGAGCACACCAGUCUAUCCAUUCCCUUCCGCGACCCCACGCGGGCACCCGGCAGUGGCCACCAGCUUCUGUCUCAGCAGAGCGUCCACCUGCCCACUGGCUGAUUCUGCGAGGCAGCUCCGUUGGCUGUCUUUGGACGGCCACCUGCAUGGCCGUCACUGAACAGUGUUCUCAAGACCAAUCCUUGGAGAUGGUGAGACUCUACGACUGCUUUAGGGACUUUUGGGAUCUGAGUUUCCAUUGGAAAAGUCGGAAUGAACCAUGGUGGGUGGGGAGGAUGCUGAGGAGUGGCCACACGCAGGGACAGGGUUCUCCGGGGCCCCGCCCGCCUCCGUCCUUCGUGGCUGGUGCCCUCGCUCUGGCCACCGGCCCCCGGCUGCCCAGCCCGUCAGAGGUGGUUGAUGGGGUGAAAUGCUCCAGACUCCGACGUGGCUCCAGUGACCUUCAACCAAGCGUCCAGAGAACCCUGGGAGGGGGUGUGGAGAGGAGUGUCUUCGGAAAGGGACAGCAUCAUUGCAUAUGCCUGGCGGGGAGGGGAUGACACACACACAGGACAGGCAGGUGAGCGCGUGGGCAGGGCGGGCCAUCCCAGACAGGCAGCAGAUGGGCAGGGCAGGCCAUCCUGGACAGGCAGGUGAGUGUGUGGGCAGGACAGGCCAUCCCCGGCCAGCAGGGCCAAGCCUCGUCCGUUCCCAGCCUCCCGUGGCCCUGGCCUGGCUCAACCUUGCCCUGGGCCACAGGGGGCAGAAGGAACAAGAGGGACUAAGACCCGGAUUCUCCCCGCAGCCUGGAAGAGGAAGACAUGAGCAGGCGUGACGGCGGGAGGGACGAGGGCCGCCCCCUGCUCCGAGUGAUGCCAGGACAUUGGGGUGCUGGUGCAGGGCCUCCUGUGCACACCAGCUCCCUUGGCUGCUUUGGGGUGCUCCCCCUCGAAGCCUCCUCUCCUUCCCACCCCUUCCCCCUGUUUCCUCCACCUGGUGAUCAGCAGAAACUACAGACACGUGUCUGGUUUGGGACGGCCCUGGGAACUGGGGGUCAACAAGAGCCACCCCUGCCAGGGGAUGUCUGUUUUGGUGACCGUGGGGACACCAAAGAGCUGCCUCUGGGACAGGGAUGUGCAGCGUUUCUGGGCCAAUGGGAUUCUUAGGAAGUACAGAUGUGUUUCCAGGCGUUAGUUCAUGGGACAUCCUUCUGCCCCCAGCACAGGGCAGGUGGGGAUGGGACCUGGGGAGCAUCGUGUGUGGGUUAAGGGCAGGGAAGGUGGGGAAGCCCAGCACUGUCCUACCCGAGUUAACACUCCAGACAGAAUUAGUAAAAAGACAAAGACAGACACGCAGACGGCUUUUGCUGAGACCUGGGGCGGGCCUGUUCCCUCUGGGAGGGCUGUAGAGUGCUGAAUGAGACCCUGAGUCCCUACAGACUGGAGAGAAAUGCGG
rnacentral:lncRNA from 1 species